UAGGAGCAUUGCAUGCGCGACGAAGCAGUACCGUAAGGAGCUGUGGAGUGCAUGGAAGAGAGAAUGCCGGAAUGAGUAGCGAGAUGGAGGUGGGAAUCCUCCAGGCCGAAUAUCAAAGGUUUCCAGAGUAAAGCUGAUCUGCUCUGGGUAAGUCGGGACCUAAGGCGAGGCCGAGAGGCGUAGCCGAUGGACAACAGGUUGAGAUUCCUGUACUGCCGUAUAUCAGAACUGUGGGGACACAGAGGGAAAGCACAGGCGCGGAACGGAAAGCCGCGUGCAAGCGAGGUACCGGACUGGUAGGAAAAACCGCCAGUCAACGGGAAGGCGUGAUGCGUACCGAAAUCAAGUAGGGAAGUGUGUGAGCCAGCUGUCAAGAAAAGCCGCUAUUGCGUAUACAGUACCCGUACCGUAAACCGACACAGGUGGAUGAGGAGAGAAUCCUAAGGCCGGCGGAAGAAGUAUUGUCAAGGAACUCGGCAAAAUGACCCUGUAACUUCGGGAGAAAGGGUGCCUCGAAAGAGGCCGCAGAGAAUUGGCCCAAGCAACUGUUUAGCAAAAACACAGGUCUAUGCGAAACCGAAAGGUGAGGUAUAUGGGCUGACGCCUGCCCGGUGCUGGAAGGUUAAGGGGAGAUGUUAGAGCAAUCGAAGCAUUGAACUUAAGCCCCAGUAAACGGCGGCCGUAACAAUAACGGUCCUAAGGUAGCGAAAUUCCUUGUCGGGUAAGUUCCGACCCGCACGAAAGGCGUAAUGAUUUGGGCGCUGUCUCGACAAUACAUCCGGUGAAAUUGAAGUACCAGUGAAGAUGCUGGUUACCCGCGCCAGGACGGAAAGACCCCAUGGAGCUUUACUCCAGCUUGAUACUGGGAUUCGGUAUUGCAUGUACAGGAUAGGUGGGAGGCUUUGAAGCAAGGACGCCAGUCUUUGUGGAGCCGCUGUUGGGAUACCACCCUUGCGGUAUUGGAUUUCUAACCAGCCGCCGUGAAACCGGCGGUGGGACAAUGUCAGGCGGGGAGUUUGACUGGGGCGGUCGCCUCCGAAAGGGUAUCGGAGGCGCCCAAAGGUUCCCUCAGAAUGGUUGGAAACCAUUCGAAGAGUGCAAAGGCAGAAGGGAGCUUGACUGUGACACCGACGGGUGGAGCAGGUACGAAAGUAGGGCUUAGUGAUCCGGUGGUAUUAAGUGGGAAUGCCAUCGCUCAACGGAUAAAAGCUACCCUGGGAUAACAGGCUUAUCACUCCCAAGAGUUCACAUCGACGGAGUGGUUUGGCACCUCGAUGUCGGCUCAUCGCAUCCUGGGGCUGUAGUAGGUCCCAAGGGUUGGGCUGUUCGCCCAUUAAAGCGGUACGCGAGCUGGGUUCAGAACGUCGUGAGACAGUUCGGUCCCUAUCCGGCGUGGGCGCAGGAUAUUUGAGAGGAGCUGUCCUUAGUACGAGAGGACCGGGAUGGACUGACCUCUGGUGCACCGGUUGUUCCGCCAGGAGCAUAGCCGGGUAGCCAAGUCGGGAAGGGAUAAACGCUGAAGGCAUCUAAGCGUGAAGCCCCCCUCAAGAUGAGAUAUCCCAUGCGAAAGCGAUAAGACCCCUUGAAGACGACGAGGUAGAUAGGUCAGAGGUGGAAGCACAGCAAUGUGUGGAGCUGACUGAUACUAAUAGGUCGAAGGCUUAACC
rnacentral:rRNA from 1 species